rnacentral:rRNA from 1 species
AUGGAGUUGCCUGAGGGCUACCCCAAGGAGGACGCGGGUGGGGCAGUUCGUGAAGAGGACGAGGAUGGGAAUUGGGAUCACUAUGGCCCAGAUCCGGAUCUGGAGGAUGCGUUUGAGGUCUUGAAUUUGCACGGGGAGGAAGAAGAAGACCUGGACUUGUCCGGGGAGGUUGAAGAUCUGAUAAGAGAAGGUCGUUGGCUGGCUCUGUUUAGGGUUCAUACGAUGAGGCUGUUCAGUCUUGCAGCUCUGUUAAACUCGAUGAGGAACGCAUGGUCGUGUGCCCAAGGAGUUACCUUUAACAUAAAAGGGCCAAAUCUUUUUUUGGCUCAAUGUCACUGCUUGGGGGAUUGGAAACGAGUAAUGGAUGGGGGACCUUGGCAAUUUCGAUGGGAUCCGGUGGUGCUAGUAGAGUAUGAUGGCUUCACAAAUGUUACUGAAUAUGCCCUGAAUAUGUAUCCAUUGUGGUCCAGAAUCAAAGGGCUACCGGAUGGUCUCACAAGAAAGAAGGAAUUGGUGGAAAAAGUGGCAAAGAAGGUUGGAGAACCGCCCUUUACUAUAGUUGUUAAUGAAGGAAAAAUCAAUGACUCAAACUAUCUACGGGUAAGGUGUGAACGUGAACAUCCCACUAGUCAGAUUUGUCCCUAUAACUUUGAAGGGAGGAAAGAAAUAUCCAGUGUGCCAUGA